AACGAACGCUGGCGGCGUGGAUGAGGCAUGCAAGUCGAACGGGAUUGCGGCGGUAGCAAUAUUGCCGCAGUCCAGUGGCGAAAGUGUGAGUAAUACGUGGGCAACCUGCCUUUAUGUUGGGGAUAGCCCGGGGAAACCUGGGAUAAUACCGAAUGUGGUAAUUCAUUGCCUGAUGAAUGAUCCAAAGCCGGGGACCGCAAGGCCUGGCGCAUGAAGAUGGGCCCACGUCCUAUCAGCUUGUUGGUGAGGUAACGGCUCACCAAGGCUUACGGGUAGCUGGUCUGAGAGGAUGGUCAGCCACACUGGGACUGAGAUACUGCCCAGACUCCUACGGGAGGCUGCAGUCGAGAAUCAUUCGCAAUGGGCGCAAGCCUGACGAUGCGACGCCGCGUGCAGGAUGAAGGUCUUCGGAUUGUAAACUGCUGUGAUGGGGGAGCAAUGCGGAACGGACUAACACUCCGUGACGUUGAUAGUACCCCAAGAGGAAGCCACGGCUAACU
rnacentral:rRNA from 1 species